UCUCACUCUUGAUAUCCUCUCUCUCUCCUCUCUGUCUCCCACCCUCAGCAUCUUAAUUUUGAAUGAAUCAUCCAUGGUAGUUGCUAUGGUUUGAAUGAUCCCUCCAGCACUCAUGCUGAAACGUAACCCUCAACAUGGCAGAACUGAGAGGUGGGGCCUUCAGGAGGUGACCGCAUCAGGGGGCUAUGCUCUCAAGAAGGGAUUAAUUCAUAAAUGAACAGAUUAAUGGGCUCCCAUGGGAAUGGAACUGGCGUGCUGAUAAGAAGGGGAAGAGAGCCCUGAGCCAGCAUGCUUGUAUGCUCAGCCCCUCGCCAUGUGAUGCCCUGCAUGACCUCAGGACCAGGUAGAGAUGACUACCAGCAAGAUGGACUUCACCAGAUGCAGUCUCUCAACCUUGGACUUCACAGCCUCCAUAACUUGGAGACGGGAAACAAGCCUGUAAACAGGAAUAGUUUGUGCCUCAAAGAAGGAAGCCCAGAAGCUGAACAGACGCUCUAAGUGCUUCCACCAAGGACUUCCUCAGCACAAGAAGUGCCCCUGCUGCCCCGGAAUGAGGCCCUCAGUUAUGGGGAGGUCCCUCCAUGGGGUCCCGCAGCUCCCCCAGGGUCUCACCUCCUAAGAAGACUUUCCAGUGCCAGAGACCCUGGCUGGGAGCUGACUUGUGAGACUCUUUCAGGGAUGCAGAGUGUGCCCUGACGGUGCGCAGCACACAGAGGGCUUCCUGAUGACAGGGUCGGUGCUGGCCAUGCCCUGCGACAGAGAGGAGAAGCUGGGCCAGGGCCCCCAGGAGCCCAUCUGAGAUGGCUGCAAGGCAAAGCACUGAAAUGUUCUAUUUCUCAGUGAGGGUUUGGUUCAUCGACAUUUGCAUCCCUGAACCUCCCUUACUAACCUGUCCCCUCACAGUCCUCAUCGAAAUACAUGUCAAGUUGAAAACUCUGGUCAUAGGGCAGCAAUUCCAGUGACCAGCAAGGCCAGCAGCGUCCAGGCGACUCCUCUGAGCCUGCGUGUCACUGUUGCACUGGGGGCUGACUGUGGCCGGGCCGUCCUGCAGUUGAGGGCAGGAGCUGCGCUGAUCCCGCCCCUGCUCAGGCAGUGGUGCCCCAGGAAGGACCUGCACCAUUUAGGGCAGGUGUGAUGCUGGGUGACAAAAGCCCUAAAGACAUUACAAAGCACAUUCUUCAUGACCAAAAUCCCUGGUAGGAUGCAGACAAACGGAGGAGGCAAAACGGAGGUCCGCCUGAACCCUGGCUCUCCUCGGAGGCUUUAGAAACUCCGCUGGCUUACAAAGCCUUCACAUGGAACCUCUGCUAUCACCUGCGUUUCAAUCACCCGCUCAUUACUUCUUACAAGUGAUUCUGGAAAAGGCCAGGAUGGACUAGUCUUUGCCUAUUUUGUGUGAAUUCUAAGCGAGAUGAAGGGGAACACAGAGUGAGUUGACCACAGGCCCCAUUUGACACGGUCCCACCCAGUGAGACCCGGGCUGGACCUCGCCUUCCUCCUUCUGCUGUUUCCUUGCUUCUGACUCUUUCAAAGCUCUUGGUCUUUAAGGAAACACUCUUCCUAAUGCAUUGUCCAGUACCCUGACACACGCAGUCAACCAAAACGGAAAAAGGAUAAACUCAGGGACCCCUGAGCAUAACGUGCACGAAGGAUGGAGGGACUUGUCUGAUGUCCCCGCUGUGUGACUUGAGGGGACACAUUGAUGAAAACAUGCAGGAGAAGGUCUACAGCCCGUGACACCCCGAGGCCCGUCUACACGGUGGGGAAGGCGCAGGAGUCUGGAGGGGGCCCAGGGCGCCAGCUCGGCUCUCUGCAAGGAGCCCAGUGACAGAAACUAAUAAAGCCACUUCGCUUCCAUUGCUCA
rnacentral:lncRNA from 13 species